GACACUGCGGAUCUGCCAUCUCAGCAAGUCUCAAGUUCGUGUUUUGGGCCGUGGUCAGGCUACUGUGCGUUGGAUCCCCUUCCCCGUGGCUGGCUGUGGCUCCAGGCCCCGUAGCCCGCAGCUCCCACAGGCCCUCCCGUCCUCUGCCUGCACUUAUGAGUUUGGCAGUCUCAGAUUCCGCACGCGGGCAUCAGAGUGCAGGGCACCGGACACGGAGGGCUACUCUGGCGGCGGCCACUUCUGGAUCAGGCCAGGCAGUGUGGGCUGGGCAGGGGCAGAAUGGAGAGGCUGUGGCUGGGCCAGCCCUGGGCCCGGAGCUGGAGGUGAUCACACAUACGGAGGAGCUCACGAAAUGCAAGCAUUCAACACAGUGUAAGUUGAUGAGGAGGACACAUCUGUGUGAGCAGUCCCCAAGCCAAGAUACAGAACCUUUCCCAUCGUCUGGCAGGCUCCCUCCCACCUCCUGAAGGUAACCCCCUUCCCAGAAAGGAGUCCCACCUACUUUAAAACUUCUCAUAA